GAUGAAGAACGCAGUGAAAUGCGAUAAGUAAUGUGAAUUGCAGAAUUCAGUGAAUCAUCGAAUCUUUGAACGCACAUUGCGCCCGUUAGCAUUCUAGCGGGCAUGCCUGUCCGAGCGUCAUUUCAACCCUCAGGGUCCCCGUUCCGGCGGGGAACCUGGUGUUGGGGAUCGGCCCGCCCCGUGCGGCGCCGUCCCCCAAAUUCAGUGGCGGUCUCGCUGCAGCCUCCCCUGCGUAGUAGUUACAACCUCGCAUCGGAGCUCAGCGCGGCCACGCCGUAAAACCCCCGACUUUCUGAACGUUGACCUCGGAUCAGGUAGGAAUACCCGCUGAACUUAAGCAUAUCAAUAAGCGGAGGA
rnacentral:misc_RNA from 1 species